UUAACUUACACCUCCAACGCCAGGGGAUUACGAGCAAUGCUUAAAACCCAAAGGAUUUGACGGUGUCCCACCCCACUAGAGGAGCCUGUUCUAUAAUCGAUGAUCCCCGCUUCACCCGACCGUUCCUCGCUUAUCAGUCUGUAUACCUCCGUCGAAAGCUUACCAUGUGAACGCCAACAGUAAGCUUAAUGAUAUCACCAUCAACACGUCAGGUCAAGGUGCAGCUUAAGGAACGGGAAGCAAUGGGCUACAAUUUCUAAUUUAGAACAAACGAAAGAUUAUGUGAAAUCCUAAUCAUGAAGGUGGAUUUAGUAGUAAAAAGGAAAUAGAGUGUCCUUUUUAACUCGGCUCUGGGACGCGUACACACCGCCCGUCACCCUCUUCAAUAGUAUUUUUUCUGUCCCUAACCCCCCUCGCACAUUUUAGAAGAGGCAAGUCGUAACAUGGUAAGUGUACUGGAAAGUGCACUUGGAAUAUUA
rnacentral:rRNA from 1 species